GUGGGGAAUAUUGGGCAAUGGGCGAAAGCCUGACCCAGCAACGCCGCGUGAAGGAAGAAGGUUUUCGGAUCGUAAACUUCUAUCCUUGGUGAAGAUAAUGACGGUAGCCAAGAAGGAAGCCCCGGCUAACUACGUGCCAGCAGCCGCGGUAAUACGUAGGGGGCAAGCGUUGUCCGGAAUGAUUGGGCGUAAAGGGCGCGUAGGCGGCCUGGUAAGUCUGGAGUGAAAGUCCUGCUUUUAAGGUGGGAAUUGCUUUGGAUACUGUCGGGCUUGAGUGCAGGAGAGGUAAGUGGAAUUCCCGGUGUAGCGGUGAAAUGCGUAGAGAUCGGGAGGAACACCAGUGGCGAAGGCGACUUACUGGACUGUAACUGACGCUGAGGCGCGAAAGUGUGGGGAGCAAACAGGAUUAGAAACCCGUGUAGUCC
rnacentral:rRNA from 1 species